CGGCAUUCGAGUGGCGGACGGGUGAGUAACGCGUGGGUAACCUGCCUUACACAGGGGGAUAACACCUGGAAACAGGUGCUAAUACCGCAUAAGCGCACAGGGCCGCAUGGCCCGGUGUGAAAAACUCCGGUGGUGUAAGAUGGACCCGCGUCUGAUUAGCUUGUUGGCGGGGUAGGGGCCCACCAAGGCGACGAUCAGUAGCCGGCCUGAGAGGGUGGACGGCCACAUUGGGACUGAGACACGGCCCAAACUCCUACGGAAGGCAGCAG
rnacentral:rRNA from 1 species